GGCGAGGGCGUCGGGGCGCUUCUGGGGCGGGGACCGCUGUGGCCUAAGCCGUUCUGGUGGCAGAGGGACAGGCUGGCUGCUGGGGGAGGCCUGGGGCUCCCAGACUUUACCCCAGGAAGCCGCCCUGGACCCAAAGCUGCCCCAGCCCCAGGAGACCCACAUCAACGCCCCCAGACCUAGAAUGCUGGGCCCCGAGGGCAGAAAGGGCACCCCCGGGACAAACCCUCUCUGGGCACACAGGGAAACUGAGGCCCCGUCCCUGGCCAAGGUCACAGAGCAGCAGGACCAGGAUAAGAGGGGCGGCUGAGCACUGGGCCCUGGGCAGCCUGGCACCUGGGCUGGGUGAGGGGGCCUCUGCCACCAGGCACCGACUUGGGUCUCCAGCACAGUGACCUUGCCCACUGUCCCCUGUCUUAUCUUCCGCAGCCUGUGCCCUGCGGGGCACACAUGCUUUCCUCACCUGCUGUCCCCCUUGCUCUUGGGGACAACUAGGGUGGCUACAGGAUCUCUCCCUGAAGUCUGCGGUUGAGACUGGACCCCAGGGCCCUCUCUCAGAUUCAGUUUCCUCUGUGGAAUGAGAACUGGAACUACCAGCCGGGCCUGACAGGGACAUCCUGCAGAUUCCGGGCCUCUCCAGAACCUUGCCCAGACCAUCUCAGAAUGCCUCCUGGCCCCGACUCAGCACAGUCACACUGGAACGCCCAGGUGGGGCCUGGUGCUGGCCAAGACGGAAAGGCAAAUAUUGGGAGAGGAAAAAAGAACCCCUGGCCCUGUUGACAACACUUCCUACUUGUGCCUGACGUGUGGCUGACACUUUCUGUCCUUAGAAAUGCUUAUAAACUUCUGAAACGAU